rnacentral:rRNA from 1 species
CGGCAGCACGGGAGCAAUCCUGGUGGCGAGUGGCGAACGGGUGAGUAAUACAUCGGAACGUGUCCUGUAGUGGGGGAUAGCCCGGCGAAAGCCGGAUUAAUACCGCAUACGCUCUACGGAGGAAAGGGGGGGAUCUUAGGACCUCUCGCUACAGGGGCGGCCGAUGGCAGAUUAGCUAGUUGGUGGGGUAAAGGCCUACCAAGGCGACGAUCUGUAGCUGGUCUGAGAGGACGACCAGCCACACUGGGACUGAGACACGGCCCAGACUCCUACGGGAGGCAGCAGUGGGGAAUUUUGGACAAUGGGCGAAAGCCUGAUCCAGCAAUGCCGCGUGUGUGAAGAAGGCCUUCGGGUUGUAAAGCACUUUUGUCCGGAAAGAAAACCUCUGGGUUAAUACCUCGGGGGGAUGACGGUACCGGAAGAAUAAGCACCGGCUAACUACGUGCCAGCAGCCGCGGUAAUACGUAGGGUGCAAGCGUUAAUCGGAAUUACUGGGCGUAAAGCGUGCGCAGGCGGUUCGCUAAGACAGAUGUGAAAUCCCCGGGCUUAACCUGGGAACUGCAUUUGUGACUGGCGGGCUAGAGUAUGGCAGA